rfam:Tumebacillus algifaecis strain THMBR28 chromosome, complete genome.
CGCAGUUGCUAGGGGUGCCUACUUUGGCUGAGAAGCACGAUCAGUGCUAACCCUUUCACUCGAUCCUGGGUAAUACCGGCGUGAGGAAGUGACGGCAUUGGACG